UACGUAGGGGGCAAGCGUUGUCCGGAAUUAUUGGGCGUAAAGCGCGUGUAGGCGGUCCACUAAGUCGGCUGUGAAAGUCCAGGGCUCAACCCUGGGAUGCCGGUCGAUACUGGUGGACUAGAGUCCGGAAGAGGCGAGUGGAAUUCCCGGUGUAGCGGUGAAAUGCGCAGAUAUCGGGAGGAACACCCGUGGCGAAGGCGGCUCUCUGGGACGGUACUGACGCUGAGA
rnacentral:rRNA from 1 species